rnacentral:rRNA from 1 species
CCUACGGGGGGCAGCAGUGGGGAAUAUUGGACAAUGGGGGCAACCCUGAUCCAGCCAUGCCGCGUGUGUGAAGAAGGCCCUCGGGUUGUAAAGCACUUUCAGUGAGGAAGAACGCCUGGUGGUUAAUACCCAUCAGGAAAGACAUCACUCACAGAAGAAGCACCGGCUAACUCCGUGCCAGCAGCCGCGGUAAUACGGAGGGUGCGAGCGUUAAUCGGAAUUACUGGGCGUAAAGCGCGCGUAGGUGGCUUGAUAAGCCGGUUGUGAAAGCCCCGGGCUCAACCUGGGAACGGCAUCCGGAACUGUCAAGCUAGAGUGCAGGAGAGGAAGGUAGAAUUCCCGGUGCAGCGGUGAAAUGCGUAGAGAUCGGGAGGAAUACCAGUGGCGAAGGCGGCCUUCUGGACUGACACUGACACUGAGGUGCGAAAGCGUGGGUAGCAAACAGGAUUAGAUACCCUAGUAGUC